AGGCCAAUUGCGGGUGCUAUACAUGCAGUCGAGCGGACAGAUGGGAGCUUGCUCCCUGAUGUUAGCGGCGGACGGGUGAGUAACACGUGGGUAACCUGCCUGUAAGACUGGGAUAACUCCGGGAAACCGGGGCUAAUACCGGAUGGUUGUCUGAACCGCAUGGUUCAGACAUAAAAGGUGGCUUCGGCUACCACUUACAGAUGGACCCGCGGCGCAUUAGCUAGUUGGUGAGGUAACGGCUCACCAAGGCGACGAUGCGUAGCCGACCUGAGAGGGUGAUCGGCCACACUGGGACUGAGACACGGCCCAGACUCCUACGGGAGGCAGCAGUAGGGAAUCUUCCGCAAUGGACGAAAGUCUGACGGAGCAACGCCGCGUGAGUGAUGAAGGUUUUCGGAUCGUAAAGCUCUGUUGUUAGGGAAGAACAAGUGCCGUUCAAAUAGGGCGGCACCUUGACGGUACCUAACCAGAAAGCCACGGCUAACUACGUGCCAGCAGCCGCGGUAAUACGUAGGUGGCAAGCGUUGUCCGGAAUUAUUGGGCGUAAAGGGCUCGCAGGCGGUUUCUUAAGUCUGAUGUGAAAGCCCCCGGCUCAACCGGGGAGGGUCAUUGGAAACUGGGGAACUUGAGUGCAGAAGAGGAGAGUGGAAUUCCACGUGUAGCGGUGAAAUGCGUAGAGAUGUGGAGGAACACCAGUGGCGAAGGCGACUCUCUGGUCUGUAACUGACGCUGAGGAGCGAAAGCGUGGGGAGCGAACAGGAUUAGAUACCCUGGUAGUCCACGCCGUAAACGAUGAGUGCUAAGUGUUAGGGGGUUUCCGCCCCUUAGUGCUGCAGCUAACGCAUUAAGC
rnacentral:rRNA from 1 species